rnacentral:piRNA from 2 species
UGCUGAAGUUUGCUGCUGCCACUGGAGCC